rnacentral:tRNA from 1 species
AUGUUGUGUUUAAUUGCGAGAACUCUACUUGAAAUCAAUGAUGUAAAACGUUGAUUAUUUCCGACGGUAAAUA